AAGUCUGCUCACGUUAGUACGCUCGACGAACGGCGAACAGGUCGCGCGCGUUUAACUCUAUACCUAUUUUUAUAAUAUCAUCUAAUCGAUGUUUGUCGGUAUUGUUGGAUGAUACGCAAGUACACAGACAUUAUGUUAGAAAUGAUGAUAGAAAAAAAAAAAUGACGGAGUGAGCCGAAACGUUCGUAUGACGAAAUUACUCACAACAGGAAUUCGUAGAUGAUUUAUUUGACUCAGAUCAAGUGUAAUAGUGUUUACUACAAUAACUGUCGCUGUGUUUCGAAGCUUUGGUGGUUUACUUAAAUCGCUAGUAGUUCCAUACACGAUGAUACACCACGACGAUUACAGCGAACGUGUGUACGAAAGAAAGACGGACCAUUUGCAAGAACAAGAUCGGAGCGUACCAGGUUCACUACCGGCCGACGAUAGUCUUCCGUUUCCGCUGCUGCUGUCCGAGUGAGCCGACGGCGAAGGACACAUCGGUGGUUGUUGCAAAUUUUGUGGUCCGCCCGAUUGACUUCCCAACACACCCAAUCCCGCACCUGUACACGAGAAUCGUAUGUAUCGUUACGAUCGUUGCCGGUAUCCGAAUCGAUUCUUUCCUAGCUGAUUUAUAUUUUCUUUUUUUUUCAUUUUUCUGUUUCAUACCUAAACUCGAGGAUGCCAGGAUCUCUCUCUCCCGCCUCUCGGCGGCGGCGCGACUUAAAACAUAUUGCGCCGCGAACUGAUGCUUCGGGUCCAUUCUCAUGUGCUCCAUGUGACUCAACAAACCUUAACAGCAAAGCAGAGCAGACGCUCGAUAGAGUUUUUCAGUUAGUUUGGCAAGCUUGGAUGAACGAAUAAGAAUUAUUGAGUUAAUGAAGGUUCGAUAGAGUAACGUUUAGAUGAAAGUAACGGUAAGAAGAAUACACAUAUAUGUAUAAUAUAUAAUGGAGAAGAAGGAAUAUAAUAUAUACGUAGUUAAUGUAAGAGAUUGCACUUUUGAUACGAUUUUUGUGAAGAAGAAAAAUAUACUUACCGCUCUCGUGAGUGAAGACGGCCUGGCACACCGAGCACGGCCACAUCCUGAGGCUCGUGCUUAGUUGACUGGUCUCAGGAUGGCAGGCCAGGUGUUUCCUAAGACUACCCUCGUUGACGUAGUGUUUUCCGCACACUGGACACGGGUGGUUGGCGGUCCGUCGCUUCGCUAUGUAAACCCCGACAACGGAGGUUGUGCAGUCAGCGGAGGGAACAAUAGGGCGACACAAUUUCAAGGUCAAUGCUAAGCAGGAUAAAGCUUCCCAAGGAACGAAAGCCACCUCCUCCAUCAUCAUUAUCAUCACCACCACCACCAUCAAUUAUCAUCAUCAUCAUCAUCAUCAUCAUCAUCAUCAUAAUCAUCAAUAUAUCAUAUCAUAUCAUCGUCACGAUCGUCAUAUCACCAUCGUCAUUAUCAUCCUUCUUCGUUUAUUUAUUUAUUUAUUUAUUAUUAUUAUUAUUAUUUUUUUUUUUUUUUCAUUAUCAUCAUCACUAUCAUCUUCAUCAUCAUCAUCAUCAUCAUUCUCCUCCUUCUUUUCCUCCUCCAUCUCCUCCUUCUCCUCCACCUCCACCUCCUCCUCCACCUUAUUUCUCACGCAUUCGCGUGUACAGACGCGCGUACGUACGUCGACAUUCCAGUCGACCUCGAAGGCGAAGGGAGAAUCCUUGCAGACACGGAUAGCCGAGGACCAGGAGAGCACUGACCUCGGACGCACCGAGCGCUGCUUCUGCCGUUGCUGACUCCCUUUCACGAGCGAGGUCGUCGGCCCAAAAACCAAGAUGCACACGCACGUACGCGCGCUUGUUGCACGCUUAUAGACGCACAAAGAAAAGUUCGACGAAUCUCUCUCUUUCAUUAUAUUCGAUUUUUUUAUUUUUUUUCUAUUUACUUUUGUUUCUCUAGCAGUCUUUUUCCCAUUUCCUCCCCCUCGCUCGCUCCCCCUUUUUUUCAUUAUUUUCUCCCUUAUUGUUCGUUCUCCCUCUGCCAUUCCGUUUCUCUCCCUUUUCUCUUCGAAGAGACAUUCGAACGCCUUCUUCAAACGGACGAGGGGAAAUCAUGCGUUUAACGAUGCAUUCGGACGAAAGUUUACCAUUUUAUCAACACCUUUCUCGUCUUACUUGACAAAACACUCAACACCUUCGUUUUUUUUUUUUUUUAUCCGUCUACGUUAUGAAAAACACGAUGGAGGAAAGGAGACACGACGCGUCGAAAAACUGGGCAUGCUGUUUCUCGUUAGAUCAAGAGAUUCUCAUUUUCAUUGGCGCGAAGCAACGCUUUGUCGAUUCUUCUUCUCUGUACGUCUAUCCAUACGUAUUCGCCCCACACACUUGACAGAACACGCACCAAAGUCGAACGAAACACCCUUCUUAAAGCACCGGUUUUGUAUUAGCGAAUAUAGUAGUACGCAAGUAUUAGUCGGUGAGUGCGCUAAGUGCUACACCCCCUUUUAUCCCGUUCAGCGAAACAGUACGAAGAAAGUGACAGGACAAUGUGUGCAUAUCGCCCGCGCCAAAGCAAGUUCUUAGGUGGGGGAUGUGAAACGUACUUAAAGACUAAAGGACGAACCACCCCUCGUGUCUCGACGAGUGGUCGUUUCAUUUCUCUCUCACUCUCGCUCUCUCAUUCUCACUUUCUUACAUUCACCCUCCUUUUCACUCUUAUCAUGUAUACACGCAUACACAAUCUCUCUCUCCCUAGUUCCCUUUCUUUCCUUCCUUUUAGUCUUAUUCGCAAUUAAGGUACCCUCGUUACGUCUAUCUCCGUUCUUUCUUUCUCCUCGAAGGAAUUCUCGCGGGAAACCCUCGUUAGCUGGUGUUAGAAAGGACGAACCGGAUGGAAUCGCCAGCGAAAGUCGGAGACCACGAGGAGGAAGCGAUCGUAACGAAUCGUAAUCCGCGUGAAAAUGCGAUAACUUGGAUAACGCGUGCAAACUCGCUCUCCUCCGCGUCGUGUCCAACGGACGAGAAGCAGAAAAGAUUUGAUUAACACGUGUGGAUCGUGCGUUAGUCGAGGAUAGAGUGUUUCAGCGUUAGUAUGCAAAAUUUGACAAAAAAAAAAAAAAAGAAAAAAAGAAAAAAAAGAAGAAAGAGUUAAAAAAAAACAGACAGAGAAGAGAAGAGCCGGUGUUUUCGUGUAGACGCGUGGAACGAUAAAAAGCAAGGAGAAAGAAAGAAUGAGACGGACGAUAUCGAGGGGCGGUCUCGGUUAUCGUAGAUACUUACUGGCUACGCCGGAGGCAUUCGGAUCCUUGUGGGUGUGCUUCAUGUGCUCCAUAAGAGCUUCGCCACCGAGAAAGAGUUUGUGGCAGACAGGACAGCUGGUUGCGUUCGGGCCGCCGAUCAAGGCGGCGUGUUGCUGGAACACAACACGCUGUUGCAACUCCUUUUUUGGUGGCCGGAAGAAGAGGAACCGGAAGCAGGCAGACGCGGUGCACCGGUAGAGAGCCGACCCACAGAAUACCACCACAGAGUCGCGAACCAGAAGCGCAGGACAGGCAGCGCACAGAACAGAACGAUUGACCAGUGAGAGUUAGGGCACCGAUUUGCCGCCGCCACCACACAGACUAUUUCAUAUUGCAAAGGGAAUUCACCUCGAGUGUCUGGUAAGAUACGAGAGGAUCCAAGGUAACAGGGAUGCGUUUCGUUCUUUUGGGAAUUGUUCGGUAAUCUGAGACGAUGAAAGGGUGAAAGGACACUUGUGUGGAAAAAUGGGAGAAAGCAAAGCCCAGACAGACGAAUGUAUUAAAAGCGCGAGGUCUGGAGAACGAUCGGAACCGCUAACGCGAUCAAAGAAAGUUUCUGUGGUGGUUACUUGGAAAAGAACGCGAAAAGAUCUUUGGUGAAUCUCCGAUUGAUCUCGUUAGACCUCGCAGAUGAACGGGAAUGCAAAGCAUAGAUCACAUGACUAGCUAACUACACAAUUAAGAUGGCCUCUGUUGCAUUAUCGUACUAUUCGCGAUUCUGUUGAAUACAUAGCUCUUUUGUCUUUUUGCCGAACAACAAAGGCCAUCCUUAAGAAUGGACAAACACGAAGAGUAAUGAACGAAAUUCGACGUCCUCAUUGCAAGUAUCUGUCUUCGUCAUUGGCGACCUCGUAUCGAGAUACAAUUUUGCGGUGGUAUCAUUUCGAUCUUUCUUUUCAUUUUUUCUUUCUUUUUUUAUUAUUUCUUUUUCUUUUCUCUCUCGCACACGCGAAGGUCGGUUAUAGGCACACGAGGCGGUAGGGGCACGCGCUGAGGAAAAACAUGGCGGCCAACCUUGCUCGAAAGAGUGCUUAAAACGGAGAGAAAAAGAAUACGAAAAGGCGGGAAAGAAGAAGGAGGAUGUCGAGGUGGGAGGAAGGAAAGGCUAAAACGAGACCGGACGGCAAUGACCCCAAAGUUUUGGGAUCUUCGCGCCACUCGUUCCUUUCUUCCUGUCUACUCCCCGCCCUCGACUUUGAUACAACGAAUCCUUUUUCCUUUUUUUCUUUUCCUCUUCUUCUUUCCUCCACCUCGUUUCUCUCUCAUCUUCAACUUUUCCUUUCUCAUCGCGUCGAGUCGUCCUUCUCUCUUUAUUUUUCUCCUCCCCCCCUCUUAUCCUACCUCUAUCUUUACCGAAGCGAUUCGUAACCUUCUUUUUUCCCGGACCUAAGGCAACCGCAACCGAGUUGAGGCGAUCAACGAACGGUGGAGAGCCGAAUCUCGGGCAGGACCAGUUUAAAAUAACACCCAGGCGUGCGUCGUCGACCUUACGUUUCGGCUAGCCUUUUUUUCUCGCGAUUCUUCCCUUACCCCCUUCCCCGACCCUUCGUCAACCCGACUAAAGUAUCAGGCUCCAUUGUUUAUAACAAUGACUUUUACUUCUUCGACCUUCCACCUGAUUGCACGUUUUUUUAUUUUUCUUACUUUUUCCCAGACUUCCAUGAUUUCUUUUUAUCCCACGAUUAGCGUAUAUUUCAAGCGUCAAGGACUCCUUUCUUUUCUCGCUAAGGUAUAGGGCAAUCGCCGAGUUGCUUUUGUUCCUGUCGUAUUCUUUGCGCGUGCAAACUUCCUUGACCAGGGUCAAUCUACGUAGGCAGCCUUGGUCGAUUCGAAUGAAAAAAAAAAAAAAAAAAAAAAUAGAGAAAAAGAUGUUGGCAAAAAUAGCAGCAGGGAGGAAGAAGAACGUGAACGAACCCCGGUGUUUAGGAGGUCCUUGCCCUUCUUCCUUCCACCGCUUUCGCUUCUUCUUCUUUUUGCUCGUUCGAACACCCACGCUCUCCUCUCGGCGUUCUUUCUUUGCGGAUAAACGAUAUUCUUUUCAAGGCACGCUUCUCGCUUGUUUUCGUCAGGCCAAAGACCUGGGCGUCCUUCUUUCUUCCCGGACCUAGGGCAAGCCCGAGCCGGUCGAGCCGACACGGCACGCCGCGAAGAAGAUGCUGGUCGUCGACGUCUUCGGCGUCGCUGGGUGCUAGUGUUGCUGGUGCAGCAGCAUCAGCAGCAGCAUGCAAGUUAUUCUCGGAGGGAGGCUGCGGUCCGUAGGUUCGACGCCCCGACCUGGCCCAACUGGAAAAAACCGGUUUCUUCGUUGCACUCUUCCUUUUUUGCCUGCAUCCUCGCUUUUUGCACCGCGAAUACCUCGGCUCUCCUGGCCGUCGCUCUCUUUCUUCUCGUUUCUUCUGCACGGCAUGCAUCUGUCCUCCUCUUAUCUCUUUCGCAGGCCAUUGCUUUUCUCUCCUCUCUCCUCUCCUCUCCUUUCUCUUUGCCCCGCUUGCCGUCUCUCUUCGCACGCCGCGCUGACUCGAGAGAGAGUGGUUGGAGCGUGGGCGAAUCCCCAAGGGACUUUAUGAUUCGCCGUGACCAGAUUCAUCUCUCUUCUCCGCUACACGUACCUACGUGGCUGUAGCAGCUAACUCCGAGCUCGAUUACUCGCCUCUAUUCCCAAUUCCAUGCUUCCUGAUCCAUCGGCCCAGUCUCGACCCGUAUCUGGGUCAGCAUUCGUGACGCGAGGGAAAAAAUUGUCGAUCGACCUAGUCCCGUCGAUCCUGCUCGAUUUAGGAUACCGCGCGAGUAUGUCUGCUCGGUUUUCACCGGUUUACCACCGAUGUGUUUAUCCGGUCAAGCUCGUCGGAGUGUUUAAAGCAGGUUCGAAUCAGGGAGUGGCGUAAAAAGGAAGUGGGUGUGAGCACACGCGUAGCGACGCGUGACGUUGGGCCGUGUAUGGAGCCAUUUUGUGUUCAAAGAAAAGGGACCAUCUUUGAUCGAGUCGAAGAAAAGCGUUUCCUCUCUAAGAAGUCGCGACAAAGGUUUUUGACGGAAAUUCGCGUAGGAACCAGAGAAUCUAUGGCCGGUCCUUCUGUUUUUCUCGGUGCAACGCGAUAAAGCCCGAAGGUUAUUCUCGCGACACGCAAUUCUUUUCGCGUCAUUUCUCCUCUUUUUUUUUUUUUCUUCCUCGGCCGUCUCCUUUCCUUGGCUUUUUUAGCCGCAACGAGGCCGCGCGAGCCUCGCCGGCAGACAACCUUCGUACGAUACUCGGCUACACCGAUAAACUUUGAAUCUGUGAAAGGUAUUCACCUCUUUUAUUCUCAGCCAGAUGCUCGAUUUUUGCCGCGAAACCCUUUCCGCGUCAUCUUCGCUUCGAUCUUAAGGCGAUCCUCGAAGAAGAACCCGGUCCUCGAACGUGUCGCGACAAAAAUCCCUGCCGGCUAUUAACGCCUGAUCGUCACGCUUCAUCGCCGCGAAUGUAAUUGAAAAAAAAAAAAAAAAGAAAAAAGAAAAAUAAAAAACGUGUACGCGUCAGAGAUUGAACGAACGCGAAAUAAUCCGCGGCGGGACACGUGUGAUCUUUUUCAUUACGGGCUGUUUGAUUUGUCGCGUCUCUUUUGCUUCCAUUCUAUCGUCUAUCGCGUAUUAUUCCGAGCCGUCGCGUUUUUUGGCGUAUCACGCGCUGGUAAUCCGCGCGUUAUGCGUGUCCAAUCACCCCCGAAGAGCGAGGAAAGGCUACCGGCAUAUACAGACAGAGAGAGGAGAAAAAAAAACACAACAAAAUGUAACAACCGGGAAAGGGUUGAGGACGCAGCUUUAUCCCCCCCGAGUGUUGUACCAAUAGCAGUUUCGACGCGACCCUCUAGCGCUUUCGUUCGACUAGGAGAGCGAAAAAACGCAGGGGUGUCGUUGCACAAUAGGCAGAAAUCCCACCCCAACGGAAUCGACGCGGGAAUGAUUUCAUUAGGUCUCGGUCUCGAUGAUGGAGCAUAUACACGGUAGCCAGAGGGAGGAAAAAAAAAGGGGGCCCGCAGGGGCGGAGACUGUGCAAAAAAUUAAUAUCGAGGGGGUUGCGAGAGAAAGGAAAGAAAAAAAAAAUGCCGGAAUCGAAGAGGAGAUCUCGUCGGAACAAGCGACGCGUCGUGCUUUUCUAUCGAACACGCGUAUAAAGAAGUUCUCGGGAAAGCUCCGUUCGUCCCACUUUUCUAUUUUAACGCCGUAAAAGAGACAAACAGCAUAGUUCUUCUGGAGAUGCGCCAGACAGCGAUGUUUAACGACGAGAGCGGUUCACGCGGGGACGCGUAACACAGCAGGGAGGAGAUUAUUUCGGCUAAGAGCGGAAAUUGGUUCAAUUGUAAAAACGUCGAAGCAGGUGUAAAUAUUGCACCCUGCGCCCUGUUUCUUCCUAGAGACGGGUUUGCGGUUUUCAUCGAAGGACGACUCUUGAACCGUAGGUAUUAAUUUCACGACUUCGUUAAACGCGUUCCUGCUGGAGGGAUAAGAUGAAAGAGAAAAGAAAAAAAAAUAUUGAAAUCGUUUAGAUCGACGUCGAAUCGAGAGAAAGAAACGUGAUCGUUAGGAUGGAUGCAAAGGACGUGAUCCAUUAACGAAUGCCAGAUACCAGACACGUGGAACGUAUUCGAAUUUCCGCUGAAUUUCAUCGAAUUUCGGGGAAAUAAUAGUCGAAGGAUAUGGAGAGUACGAGCCGCGGUUUGUCGAUCGUUCUCGUGGAGAAUGAAAAGCGAAAUUUUGCAAGCGAACUGGAAUUACACUCGAAAGGAAUUCCCAUGGGCUCGAAAAUAUUCUGACCCGAUCGUUUUACCUUUAAUCGUUGCCACGGGUACUUGGAACACUGCGACAAAGAGAGACCAGCAUGAAAUGAAGAUCAAUUUUCAUUAAUUCGAGACAGUUAAUAAAUCAGUUGCAUUUUUUUUUUUUUUUUUUUAGAAUGCCCAUAUUCCAACGUCCUUUGCACGAUAGGAAAAGGAUGAACAAGCGUUUCGUUUUCGACUCGACGGUGCUUUGUAACGCGCGCGUUUCUUUAUUAUUUUGAAUUAUUAUCUUUAAUGUAAAAUCGCGCGCGAUGAUCCGAGAGAAAAUUUGGAAUAUUUUUGAUUGGACGCGAACCGAAAGCAAAAGUAGUUAAAAAGAAGCACAGCAUAACGAGCGCGCGAGCGCGGCUUUCUAGAACACGAAAAUGAAUCCCCGUGGCGAGGAAAAAUAAAUCUAAUGGCUAACGAGUUUUUACCGAGCUCCGUGCUUGGGCAAUUAAGAAGAGGGUAGAAGAGGGGCUCGAUGGGGGUAGGUGUAGUACCGGAGGUGAAUCGGAAGAAGGUCGAAGGUACGAGAAAGUCCGCCAGCAGAAAAGGGGUUGUGUAUCGUGUUGCACGACAUUCAACCCUUGUACCGCUAAACUACAGAUAAAUACGAAGGCUGUGUGCCACGGAAAAGUGGGUAAGACGCGACGAGAGGGAAUAGCAGCGAAAGAAACCCAGGCAGGGUGCGAGUUGGCAGCGGUUUUGCUUGAAAUUUUUCACCCCCUUUUUCCUCUCUCUACGUACACCAGUACUCUGACGCUUUUGUUUUUGCAUUUGCUGAUCAAUUUCAUGAUCGAACACGUUGCCUGUCGGUGUACGCGUAAAGCUCAGGAGAAUUCGAAGAAACACAUCAGCCCCGUUUGUUCUUCGGCUGGUUGGAAACAAAGAAAGGGAUAAUACAGUUCGUAAGACGCACGAAGGAAGCGCAGAGGGAGGAAAUCCAAGUUUCUACGGCUGGCUACCGAUCGUUCUCUAUAAUACAUUUACACUCUGCCCUAUUAUAAUAUUGUACUCGGAGUGUAUUGUCUUUCUUGGUCGAGAUAAUGUUUCGCCGACACGCCAGGUCUCGACCCACAGCGUAACUCUUUCAUUUCCCCUUUCUAUCGUUCUUCCUUCGGUUCUUGCCAACCUCUCUCGCUCUCGGUUAUUUUUUUCUUUUUAAACAACGAUCCAUUAGCUAUCAGGGUAGUCGAGGCAGGGAUGGGGGCUAGUAGAUAGCCUGGAAUAGCGAAAACAAUUUCAAGAAAUCUGCCCCGGCGAAAAUUCGAUUAGCCGCGCAAGAUGGGCUCUCUCGAGGUACUUCUCUCUCGCUCUCUCUUACUCUCUUCGUCCCUCCAUUUGUUUCGUUUCGUUUCGUUUCGUUUCGUUUCGUUUCGUUUCGUUUCGUUUCCUUUCCAUUCCUUUCCUUUCCUUUCGUUUUAUUUUCACCGACCGGACCGACUCUGUUUCUGUCGCGCUGGCGGCUUUUAAUUACUUCUCCGCACUCUCGCGCAACAUCUUCUCUUCGUGUUCGCGUUCCUCUUCCACGUCAUCGUCAUCUUCCACUUCUCCACUUUCUGGCUGUGCUUUUAACCGCGAUUCACCACCGGCUACGUUUAACUCGAAUCCUUCCUCCUCUCGCGACGAAUACGUCCACGAUUGUUCGUCUAUUUUGCUAACGACGAGAAGCGAAUCGAUGCGAGUUGAAAAUGGGAUUCUCCAGGAGAAUUUAUCGAGAUGCGAAAACUCCUGUGAAAAGGGGGGAAUCCGAGGGUCUUAACCGAGGAUUAGCUUUCAAUUAGAGGAUCUCGACGGGCCGGACGCGUUAAAAGAAGGAUAUUUAUUGGCAAGAAAACGACGCGGGGCUGGAUUACGGUCGCGUGGCUCGUCAAACUUGCACCUGAUUCCACAACGAAACGAGAGUGUGGUUCGAGAAGGCUGAAGCAGCCUGGGGAGCAUCUUUUCCUCCCAACAUCCUUGCCUCGGAUGAGAUCGUCGAGGCUUUGCUAUCGGAUCAAUUAAAUUUCUGUAUUUUUUAAACGGGAACGCGUAUCGUUGCCAUCGCAGCGUUAAUCGAUAAUCGUCUUGAUCGGGUCCACUUUUCGAACUCGUGUAGGGAGAAUGUCAGUUUCACGACUGGUUACGCAACGUGCUCCUCGGGUCUAAUUGGCUAGGAGAGAAAGAAGUCGAUAUAGGUUUUUCAUGGGGACGAAAGAAGCGCGAGAAGACAGCGAAGAGAAACAAGAGAAAAGACCGACUCACGUACAGAGGACUCGACAGAUGCCUUCCCACGUUUUUUCGUCAAGACAUGUGCCUGGCGCGGCGAAAGGGUUGAGAAAUUCAGUUGGUCGAGCGAACCGGGCAAAAAAGCACCCCACGGUACAAGAUUCCUUUGGUAAUCGCUACGUGCCGCGAUUCACCGUCAGGGGUGAAUUCGAUUAAGCGUCGUAGACGCGAUCUUUUUCCCAGAUCGUUGCAUUUUUUUUUUUUUCCUUUCACAUACUAUUCGUAAUGGAUGCUCCUUCUUCGAUGCUUUCUCCCUUUUUUCUCAUUGCGUUUCACGCGAUAUCGACGCGUCAACGAACGCUUAUUGUUCGCUCCCUCGUCGCGUCUCUUAUGCAAACAUCGUCGUCGUCGUAUUUUGAAACGAGUUUCUCGUUGUAACAUAUUUUUUUUUCUGUUUUAGGUCGAUGACGUCGCGUCGAGGAUGCUGUUCGACGAGCAGUCAGUUUGCGAUUGAUAAAUGGACGAUCGAAGCCACGAGAAAAUUGUGCAUCGCUCUGCGAAAUCCCGUUCAAGUCCGAAGCGUCUGGUCGGUGAAAGAAAAAAAAAAAAAAAAAAAAAAAAAAAAA